GAUAUUUUGGCUCUUUGCUUGCUCAAUUGCUUUGCAGGCUGCGUGUAUUUCAGCUCUUUGAUUAGUUUGCCGUCCAGGAAGUCUUUCACUGAUAUUUAAGGGGUGGCCUGGUCCCCAGUAGACACCUAUUCCAGCGCGUGCCCUGUUACGUCCAUUACCUGAGCAACAACCAUCUGUAUAAACAACUGCAAAUUCACCCAUAUAUGAAAACUUAGCUUCACUGACUACUGGUGUUGACUGCUCUUCAUCGUGUUUUGCACGCUUUACAGUAUGUUCUUCAUUUGUAGACUGUUCAUACGGCCUUUUGCAUGCAUUGCAGCACAAGACAUCUGUCUCCGGCUCCUCUCUCUGGCUAGCAUUUUCCUGUGCUACAGCUGAAGCACCAUGUGUCUCUUC
rnacentral:lncRNA from 1 species